rnacentral:rRNA from 1 species
UACGUAGGGUGCGAGCGUUGUCCGGAAUUAUUGGGCGUAAAGGGCUCGUAGGCGGUCUGUCGCGUCGGGAGUGAAAACUCAGGGCUUAACCCUGAGCCUGCUUCCGAUACGGGCAGACUAGAGGUAUGCAGGGGAGAACGGAAUUCCUGGUGUAGCGGUGAAAUGCGCAGAUAUCAGGAGGAACACCGAUGGCGAAGGCAGGUCACUGGGCCGCAACUGACGCUGAGGAGCGAAAGCUAGGGAGCAAACGGG